rnacentral:piRNA from 1 species
UCACCCUAAAGAAUCCUACCUUCCCCGAUG